rnacentral:tRNA from 1 species
UGCCGAGUGGUGUAGCGGUAACACAGCAGACUUUGGAUCUGUUGUCCCAGGUUCGAGUCCUGGCUCGGCAGCCC